rnacentral:rRNA from 1 species
AGUGAACGCUGGCGGUAGGCCUAACACAUGCAAGUCGAACGGCAGCACAGUAAGAGCUUGCUCUUACGGGUGGCGAGUGGCGGACGGGUGAGGAAUACAUCGGAAUCUACUUUUUCGUGGGGGAUAACGUAGGGAAACUUACGCUAAUACCGCUUACGACCUACGGGUGAAAGCAGGGGAUCUUCGGACCUUGCGCGAUUCAAUGAGCCGAUGUCGGAUUAGCUAGUUGGCGGGGUAAAGGCCCACCAAGGCGACGAUCCGUAGCUGGUCUGAGAGGAUGAUCAGCCACACUGGAACUGAGACACGGUCCAGACUCCUACGGGAGGCAGCAGUGGGGAAUAUUGGACAAUGGGCGCAAGCCUGAUCCAGCCAUGCCGCGUGGGUGAAGGAGGCCUUCGGGUUGUAAAGCCCUUUUGUUGGGAAAGAAAAGCAGCAGGUUAAAACCCCGCUGUUCUGACGGUACCCAAAGAAUAAGCACCGGCUAACUUCGUG